rnacentral:lncRNA from 1 species
UGGAAGCGUCCCUCUGGGGCACCAGUACCCUGUAGCUUUGCUACUGACAGGAGUGCAGGCCUGAGGUGUUCCUCACUAGGUGUCUAGUAUAUUUAAAAAUAAUUAAGGGAAAUCAAAGGGCAACCUAAUAAUGCUGAAGGUACCAAUAAAAACAUAAAGCUGCCAGUGGACCAGCUGAAGAGUGAGGAACACCCAAGAGCUGGCUGACUCUUCAGUGAGCUGGGUCAUGAGAUGGGCCCGGUCCGUGGCCUUGGUGUGGGGCCUUACGGGGCACUGGAACUCCCAUAGGGCUGUUGUGUACUUUGGGAAGCCAGAUCUGCUUCCCAGCUACUUCAGAGGGGCUUUCUGUGCAGACAGAGGAGGAGGAAAGGGUAGAGACAAAGGCAUUUCACCUUCCAGGGAAGCUGUGAGCAUGAAGAUGUCACCUAUGCUGUGUGCAGGACUGCCAGUAGCACGGAUGGUCUCUCUGCAGGGGUGGCAUGGAGGAACAGCCCUGCAUCAGAAAGAUGUUUCAAAACACUGUACAAAGAAAAUGAAUGGUGUGCCUGGGGUAGGCUGCUAG